rnacentral:lncRNA from 1 species
AAGGCAGUAAAUCUUUGUUGAAAAAUAAACAGUUUUGAGUGGAGGGUGAGAUUGAAUUUGGAAAGAAGAGGUGUAAGGCCCUCAAAUGGUGAAGCAAAAGUGGAAACAACACGAAUUGUAUUUGGAGAAGAAGAGUUAAAUUCCAUUGGAAGGCAGUAAAUCUUUGUUGAAAAAUAAACAGUUUUGAGUGGAGGGUGAGAUUGAAUUUGGCAAGAAGCAGCUGAAGAUUGGAACUUUGGAAAUUCCAAAAAGCAAGUCAUGAAGAAACUGUUGGAAAAGGAAAAU